rnacentral:rRNA from 1 species
UUACCAUGCAGUCGAGCGGUAAGGCCCUUCGGGGUACACGAGCGGCGAACGGGUGAGUAACACGUGGGUAACCUGCCCUGUACUCUGGGAUAAGCCUUGGAAACGAGGUCUAAUACCGGAUACGACCUUCAACCGCAUGGUUCGGGGUGGAAAGUUCCGGCGGUAUGGGAUGGACCCGCGGCCUAUCAGCUUGUUGGUGGGGUAAUGGCCUACCAAGGCGACGACGGGUAGCCGGCCUGAGAGGGUGACCGGCCACACUGGGACUGAGACACGGCCCAGACUCCUACGGGAGGCAGCAGUGGGGAAUAUUGCACAAUGGGCGAAAGCCUGAUGCAGCGACGCCGCGUGAGGGAUGACGGCCUUCGGGUUGUAAACCUCUUUCAGCAGGGACGAAGCGCAAGUGACGGUACCUGCAGAAGAAGCACCGGCUAACUACGUGCCAGCAGCCGCGGUAAUACGUAGGGUGCGAGCGUUGUCCGGAAUUAUUGGGCGUAAAGAGCUCGUAGGCGGUUUGUCGCGUCGGCCGUGAAAACUUGGGGCUUAACUCCAAGCUUGCGGUCGAUACGGGCAGACUUGAGUUCGGCAGGGGAGACUGGAAUUCCUGGUGUAGCGGUGAAAUGCGCAGAUAUCAGGAGGAACACCGGUGGCGAAGGCGGGUCUCUGGGCCGAUACUGACGCUGAGGAGCGAAAGCGUGGGGAGCGA